UACCUUUUGUAUAAUGGGUCAGCGACUUAUAUUCUGUAGCAAGGUUAACCGUAUAGGGGAGCCGGAGGGAAACCGAGUCUUAAUUGGGCGUUAAGUUGCAGGGUAUAGACCCGAAACCCGGUGAUCUAGCCAUGGGCAGGUUGAAGGUUGGGUAACACUAACUGGAGGACCGAACCGACUAAUGUUGAAAAAUUAGCGGAUGACCUGUGGCUGGGGGUGAAAGGCCAAUCAAACCGGGAGAUAGCUGGUUCUCCCCGAAAGCUAUUUAGGUAGCGCCUCGUGAAUUCAUCUCCGGGGGUAGAGCACUGUUUCGGCUAGGGGGCCAUCCCGGCUUACCAACCCGAUGCAAACUGCGAAUACCGGAGAAUGUUAUCACGGGAGACACACGGCGGGUGCUAACGUCCGUCGUGAAGAGGGAAACAACCCAGACCGCCAGCUAAGGUCCCAAAGUCAUGGUUAAGUGGGAAACGAUGUGGGAAGGCCCAGACAGCCAGGAUGUUGGCUUAGAAGCAGCCAUCAUUUAAAGAAAGCGUAAUAGCUCACUGGUCGAGUCGGCCUGCGCGGAAGAUGUAACGGGGCUAAACCAUGCACCGAAGCUGCGGCAGCGAACGUAUCACCCAAGACAACUUUACGGAGUUGACGAUUGACGGAGCGAAGCGACGUCAAAGCGUUCAUUAAAGUCGAGUUGGCUUAGGGAUACGUUCGUUGGGUAGGGGAGCGUUCUGUAAGCCUGUGAAGGUGUGUCGUGAGGCAUGCUGGAGGUAUCAGAAGUGCGAAUGCUGACAUAAGUAACGAUAAAGCGGGUGAAAAGCCCGCUCGCCGGAAGACCAAGGGUUCCUGUCCAACGUUAAUCGGGGCAGGGUGAGUCGACCCCUAAGGCGAGGCCGAAAGGCGUAGUCGAUGGGAAACGGGUUAAUAUUCCCGUACUUGGUGUUACUGCGAAGGGGGGACGGAGAAGGCUAUGUUGGCCGGGCGACGGUUGUCCCGGUUUAAGCGUGUAGGUGUGUGUUCCAGGUAAAUCCGGUUCACUUUAACACUGAGGCGUGACGACGAGGCACUACGGUGCUGAAGCAACAAAUGCCCUGCUUCCAGGAAAAGCCUCUAAGCAUCAGGUAACACGAAAUCGUAC
rnacentral:rRNA from 1 species